rnacentral:rRNA from 1 species
UAGCGCCUCGUGAAUUCAUCUCCGGGGGUAGAGCACUGUUUCGGCUAGGGGGCCAUCCCGGCUUACCAACCCGAUGCAAACUGCGAAUACCGGAGAAUGUUAUCACGGGAGACACACGGCGGGUGCUAACGUCCGUCGUGAAGAGGGAAACAACCCAGACCGCCAGCUAAGGUCCCAAAGUCAUGGUUAAGUGGGAAACGAUGUGGGAAGGCCCAGACAGCCAGGAUGUUGGCUUAGAAGCAGCCAUCAUUUAAAGAAAGCGUAAUAGCUCACUGGUCGAGUCGGCCUGCGCGGAAGAUGUAACGGGGCUAAACCAUGCACCGAAGCUGCGGCAGCGACGCUGAUGCGUUGUUGGGUAGGGGAGCGUUCUGUAAGCCUGCGAAGGUGGCCUGUGAGGGUUGCUGGAGGUAUCAGAAGUGCGAAUGCUGACAUAAGUAACGAUAAAGCGGGUGAAAAGCCCGCUCGCCGGAAGACCAAGGGUUCCUGUCCAACGUUAAUCGGGGCAGGGUGAGUCGACCCCUAAGGCGAGGCCGAAAGGCGUAGUCGAUGGGAAACGGGUUAAUAUUCCCGUACUUGGUGUUACUGCGAAGGGGGGACGGAGAAGGCUAUGUUGGCCGGGCGACGGUUGUCCCGGUUUAAGCGUGUAGGUGUGUGUUCCAGGUAAAUCCGGUUCACUUUAACACUGAGGCGUGAUGACGAGGCACUACGGUGCUGAAGCAACAAAUGCCCUGCUUCCAGGAAAAGCCUCUAAGCAUCAGGUAACAUCAAAUCGUACCCCAAACCGACACAGGUGGUCAGGUAGAGAAUACCAAGGCGCUUGAGAGAACUCGGGUGAAGGAACUAGGCAAAAUGGUGCCGUAACUUCGGGAGAAGGCACGCUGACACGUAGGUGAAGUGAUUUACUCAUGGAGCUGAAGUCAGUCGAAGAUACCAGCUGGCUGCAACUGUUUAUUAAAAACACAGCACUGUGCAAACACGAAAGUGGACGUAUACGGUGUGACGCCUGCCCGGUGCCGGAAGGUUAAUUGAUGGGGUCAGCGCAAGCGAAGCUCCUGAUCGAAGCCCCGGUAAACGGCGGCCGUAACUAUAACGGUCCUAAGGUAGCGAAAUUCCUUGUCGGGUAAGUUCCGACCUGCACGAAUGGCGUAAUGAUGGCCAGGCUGUCUCCACCCGAGACUCAGUGAAAUUGAACUCGCUGUGAAGAUGCAGUGUACCCGCGGCAAGACGGAAAGACCCCGUGAACCUUUACUAUAGCUUGACACUGAACAUUGAGCCUUGAUGUGUAGGAUAGGUGGGAGGCUUUGAAGUGUGGACGCCAGUCUGCAUGGAGCCGGCCUUGAAAUACCACCCUUUAAUGUUUGAUGUUCUAACGUGGACCCGUGAUCCGGGUUGCGGACAGUGUCUGGUGGGUAGUUUGACUGGGGCGGUCUCCUCCUAAAGAGUAACGGAGGAGCACGAAGGUUGGCUAAUCCUGGUCGGACAUCAGGAGGUUAGUGCAAUGGCAUAAGCCAGCUUGACUGCGAGCGUGACGGCGCGAGCAGGUGCGAAAGCAGGUCAUAGUGAUCCGGUGGUUCUGAAUGGAAGGGCCAUCGCUCAACGGAUAAAAGGUACUCCGGGGAUAACAGGCUGAUACCGCCCAAGAGUUCAUAUCGACGGCGGUGUUUGGCACCUCGAUGUCGGCUCAUCACAUCCUGGGGCUGAAGUAGGUCCCAAGGGUAUGGCUGUUCGCCAUUUAAAGUGGUACGCGAGCUGGGUUUAGAACGUCGUGAGACAGUUCGGUCCCUAUCUGCCGUGGGCGCUGGAGAACUGAGGGGGGCUGCUCCUAGUACGAGAGGACCGGAGUGGACGCAUCACUGGUGUUCGGGUUGUCAUGCCAAUGGCACUGCCCGGUAGCUAAAUGCGGAAGAGAUAAGUGCUGAAAGCAUCUAAGCACGAAACUUGCCCCGAGAUGAGUUCUCCCUGAGACUUAGAGUCUCCUGAAGGAACGUUGAAGACGACGACGUUGAUAGGCCGGGUGUGUAAGCGCAGCGAUGCGUUGAGCUAACCGGUACUAAUGAACCGUGAGGCUUAACCUU